CCAAUGCUUCUAAUUUCAUAGUAAGCUCGCUUGCUAUGAAAUAGGCAACCAGUAAUAUAAGCAAGUGUGUGCUAUUUAUAGCGCUAGCCUACAAACCUAUAAUUAUAUUAACUCUAAGAGAAAUUUAAUAAUAAACGAAGUGAAUUGAAAUAUCUUAGUAACUUUAGGAAAAGAAAUCAAAAGAGAUUCUAUGAUUAGCGUGAGCUAAAAUAGACUAGCCUAAAAAGUCAAAUGGUGGAUAAACUGUUUAAAUUAAAUGGGGAACCUUCCUCAAAGGCUAAAUAUAAUGUAUAAGCGAUAGUGGAAAGUACCGUGAGGGAACCAAAACAAAAACAGUGAUUUUAUAAGCAGUUCGGGAAAAUAAAAAAAAGUUAGAACGUACCUUUUGCAUAAUGGGUCACCAAGUUAACAUUAGAUGCGAGUAGGAGGCUUUGCCCAUACAUACGUAGUUAAACCGAGCGUUAAAAUAACGGUAAGUAUCUAAAGUUAGACCCGAAGCCUGGUGAUUUUACCAUAAUCAGGAUUAUAAAAGUCCGAACGGAAUAUUGUAGCAUAAAUAUCCGAAGAAUUAUGGUAGGUGUAGUGAAAGACAAUACUGACCAGGAUAGCUGGUUUUCUGCGAAACCUAUAACAGUAGGCAAUUUAAGUAUAAUAUCUUAGCAGGUACAGAAUUUAAUCUCAGACAAGACAUAAGGCUUAGCUUGCUAGCAAGUAAAGCUCAUGUUUUAUUUUGUACAAAUUGGGGGAUCAUGAAGAUUUUAUCAGUGAGUAUGUAGACUCGGAAUGGCAAAGAUAUAUCUUAAAUCAUCAGACAUAGAAUGAUAAGGUUGUAUGUCAAAAGGGAAACAGCCCAGAACAAGAGUUAAGGUUCCUAAAUUAUUAGUUGAGUGAAAUUAAGAAGGUUUUUAUUAAAGUCGACAAGGAGAUAGGCUUAGAAGCAGCCAUAAUUUUAUGACCUCGUAACAGAGCGCUUGUUAAGUUUUAAAAGCAUCGAAAAUUUAUCGGAUCUAAACAAUAUACCGAAACCUUGUCCAUAUUAUUUUAUAAUUAAAGCUUAAUUAUAAUUAAAUGGGGUAGCAGAACGUUGAGCUAAAUUAAGAUUUUUAUUUUUUAAAUGAAAUUAUAAUAAUUUAACUCAAGUGAUAAUGGUGACAUGAGUAACUAAAAGAAAAAAUAAAAUUUUUCCGCCUAAAGCUUAUGGAUGUAAUUAAGUAACGGCCUCUAAGUUUAUAUUAUCUAAAGAUUUAAACGAUGAGAUAAUCUUUUGUACUAAGGACGACAUUUUAAGUGAAAAAUGUACUGGAAAAAUAGUACUAAAUUAAUGGGUAUAGCUAAUUAGUUAGCUAUAGCUAUAAAUGAAAAGUAACCGUACCUAGAAUCUGAAACAAGUAAGCUAGUAGAGAAUACGAAGGCGUAAAUGAGCUAACAAUCAUAAAGGAACUCGGCAAAUUGACUACCGUAACUUCGGGAUAAGGAGAGCUCAUUAUUCUUGAUUAAUAUCAGGUAAAGAGGAAGAAGCAUGAAAUAGUGUUGUACGACUGUUUAAUUAAAACACAGCACUUUGCUGAAAGAUUAAAAAUCUAAGUAUAGAGUGUGAUGUCUGCCCGGUGCCGGCUGGUUAACAGAUAUAAUUAAAUAUACUAAUAUUUGAUGUAGACGGAAACCCCGGUUAAAGGCGGCCUUAACGUGAGGGUCCUAAGGUAGCGAAAUGCCUUGGCCGUUAAAUGCGGUCUUGCAUGAAUGAUGUAACGAUACAACAGCUGUCUCUAUGAUUGACUCAGUGAAAUUGGAAUAGCUGUGCAGAUACAGUUUACCUCUAGUUAGACGAGAAGACCCUAUGCAGCUUUACUGUCACUAAUUAUAGAGUAUGAUAAACAAUUUUCAGAUUAUAAGGUAAUUGACGGCUAGCUUGUUCAGCAAGCUAGCUCUAUGACAAUGAGAAUCCUUUAUUUUUUUUUCAUAUGAAUGAAUUGGUUUAGGAUUAUGAGUAGGUAGCGGCUUCUGCUACUUGGCGUAAGCAUUGCUUGCGUCAGGUGUCUGAAGUAUGCAUUCCAGCUCAUGCAUAGUAAAUCAACCUAAUUCAGCUUAUUUUCCUUUCUGCCAUAAGCGCAUAAUGAUAGAUUUAACUUAAAUUUUGAUUUAUGCCAGCUGCAGAAAUAGAUAAGUACCCUUGGCUAAGGAACUAUCGCUAGGGGACAGUUUAUGUGGGGCACAGACCCUGUAAAGAGUAAACAGGAGUGUCUAAUAAUUUAUAAUUAUUUUGUUUGCGAUUUAAGAUAGUGAAACUAUUUUUAAUCAUAUAAAAUUAUUUAUAUGUACAUUCGUUGUAUAUAUAUUUAAAAAAAGGUAGGAUUUUCACUAUAUAGAAAUUAGAGAUAAUAAAAAUAUUAAGAAUAUACGUUUCAGGCUGGGAGGGGGAAGCUCCUCCCUUUGAAAGGUAGCACUAAUAUUUUUUAGCUAUUAAGACAGGCUAUCAAGCUAGGCUCUAAUAGUUAUGUAUUAAUUAUCUAAAAAGCUCAACGGCUAAAUCUUGCCUUACUGUUUGAUUAUCAACAAAUCU
rnacentral:rRNA from 1 species